CUCGUGUACAUUAUAUGUGUGCAUUUGUGUGAUUGAGAAGCUUUUGCUCUGGUGACGUUGUGGAAAAAGAGUCCGUUCUGCACUGAGAUUAUUUUAGAAGUCUGACCAACAUUCAGUAAUUUCUAAGCAGCUACUACAAAAAAAAAAAAACAAAUCAACACCCUGCUGGCAGAUCCAGGGACGUGUAAAUCCACAGGAUACCUUCAUGAACAAGGCACAAACACCUUAAAGGACCAUUGGGAUGAUGCACCUUUUAGCCCACGAACCUAAAAAUAAAAAAACAGAAUUUUCCAAAGCACAUAAUAAGAGUCGAUGUUUUCCGUUCAUCUCAGUCCGCUGUAAAAAUAAACCUGCUGAGAAGAACUGAAAACAAGAUCUAAAAAUUUGUGUAUGUUUUGGAAAAUCAUCAGUGGUAAAGAAUACAUUAUUCAUAGUGGAUUAAAACAUACAAAACCAGCAGUAUGGUCCUUUAAGUGGCUGUCUUCCAGCUCUAAAAUCUGAUCUAAAAAGGAGAAUCCAGGAAAAGACACAGAAACAAAGCAUGCUCAGCCACUGAUUUCUAAGACGGCACUCUCUUCUUCUGGUGUUUUUUUUCAGCCCUUUCAUCCAAAACAACUUUCUUUAGUGAUGUAACAGAAGGGGUUUCCUAAAGCGUGUGUCAGGGGCCUUGUAGAGGGGUUUCCCGGUCUGCUUACAUGGAACCUGCUCUUUAUUUGGCUUCUGAUUUUAUUUAUUUAGCUUCUUCGCUGAGGAGGGGAGGAGCGGAGUGGAGGGGAGGGUGAAGAUGAGAGGCAAAGAGAUGAGAGGAUGAGGGGAGAGGAGGAGUAUAAAAGGAUGAAAAGGAGAUGAGAGGAGGGGGAAGGUGGACGGUGGAGAGGAAGAGGACGUAUGAAAGACAGGAAGCUCCGGUCGGAUCGCCGGCGGAGCACCUGUCAGUGAAGAGGCUCCUGCUUUCUAUCACCGUCUCCUCCCCUAUUUUUUCCAUCCAUCUCUUUUGUCCGGCAACAGGAGGGACACCCAAAAGGGGGGGAAAGAGCGGGUGCUUAAAAUUCCUCCUUCCUUCCUGUGUCCAUCUCCUCUCCUAAAGACCUGUCGUCUCCAUAGCAACAGCCCGUCUUCAUACUGAGCUUAUUCAGUCGGUAGUCAUGAAUGUGUUUGUGUGUGGGAGAGAGAGAGAAGAGAGAGAGUUUUGCUGUUGCUCAUGCCUCUCUGAGUUGUGUGUUAAGGUACGUGUCCACUAGAUGUGUUUUCCCGCAUCUGAAAAUCACACGCAUGGUGGGCGGGUCACAACUUGGUCACAUGACAGAAUUUCAGCAGCUCUGUGCGGACGAAUUACGUCAUUUUAGCAGCCACGCCCCCUCACACGGCCCUUCUCACGUGGAAAAUUUCCACGUCUGAAUUUUUCUAACUACGCGGACGUAGACACGCGGAAGAAUAGGAGAUCCUAGCAGCAGAAGUUCAGGCAUUUGUACGAUUCAUCACCAUGGUAACCGGGUUAUGAACUAUUCAUGGUGUGAAAUUAAAACUGACUGCUGAAAUGCAACUAUUCGGUAAAAUACCAUGUUGUAAGUGGUGAAAACAACGGCAAACUUCGAGUCUAGUCCAGUUUAUUACUAGAGUAGACCAGGUAGACAUGUGUUUGCGAUACACUGCCCCCUGCAGUUUGGGAGCAGACGCUGCACGGAGUAUAAAUGCACAUACGGUCACAUGAGCGUUUACGUGCAAGAAAAACGCAUCUAGUGGACACGUAGCUUCAGUGUGUCCCUGUGUAUGUUGUUGUUGUUGUUUUUUGUCAAGGAAGAGGGUGCAUCAGUCCAACACUCCAUCUGAAAGAAAAAGCCAGUUCAUUUUUGGUCGAUCUGAAGAAAUCUCGUGUUAAAAUGGAAGGAGCGUUGGCUGGUUUAAGAAGUCUGUUUUCAGUCUUGUGAGUUUUUGAAUCAGGCACCGUGAUGCUUCUCUCCUCCCUGCCCUGGAAGCAUG
ensembl:lncRNA